AAUCAACGCUGGCGGCGCGCUUAACACAUGCAAGUCGAACGAGAAAGUGGAGCAAUCCAUGAGUAAAGUGGCGUACGGGUGAGUAACACGUGGAUCAUCUGCCUCUUAGUGGGGAAUAACUCUGGGAAACUGGAGCUAAUACCGCAUAAGCCUGGAAAGGGAAAGCGUUGUCGUAAAAACGACGCGCUGAGAGAGGAGUCCGCGGCCGAUUAGCUAGUUGGUAGGGUAAAAGCCUACCAAGGCUUUGAUCGGUAGCCGGCCUGAGAGGGCACACGGCCACACUGGCACUGAAACACGGGCCAGACUCCUACGGGAGGCAGCAGUGGGGAAUCUUGCACAAUGGGGGCAACCCUGAUGCAGCGACGCCGCGUGAGCGAAUGAAGCCCUUCGGGGUGUAAAGCUCUUUCGGCAGGAACGAUAAUGACGGUACCUGAAGAAGAA
rnacentral:rRNA from 1 species